AUAAAAUCAAUGAUUGAGACAAGUGUUAAAUAACCUCUUUAUUUUAGAGACCAAGUGUAUGCUGAAAACUUGGAUAAAUGUUAUUAAAUGUAUCCCUCAUGAGAUUAAGUUCUGAAGGUAGUAAGAACUUACGUAAUCCUGCGUUAAAGGUUUGAGUGCUGAAGAGAUUCAGAACAAAGGUGGUACCACGGAUUAAAUAUAGUUCGUCCUUAUU
rnacentral:ncRNA from 1 species